rnacentral:rRNA from 1 species
UAUAAGAGGUCCAGCCUGCCCAGUGACCGCAAGUUAAACGGCCGCGGUAUUUUAACCGUGCAAAGGUAGCGCAAUCACUUGUCUUUUAAAUAAAGACCUGUAUGAAUGGCUAAACGAGGGCUUAACUGUCUCCCAUUUCAAGUCAGUGAAAUUGAUUUACCCGUGCAGAAGCGGGUAUAAUAAUACAAGACGAGAAGACCCUUUGGAGCUUAAGGCGUAAAACUCAACCAUGUCAAGCAACUCAAUAAAAAGCAUCUUCAAACUUUGUGGUAAAUGAGACCACUGCCUUCGGUUGGGGCGACCACGGAGAAAAAGAAAGCCUCCAAGUGGAAUGGGGUAUACCCCCUAAAACCAAGAGAGACAUCUCUAAGCUACAGAAUAUCUGACCAUAAAUGAUCCGGUCGACCAAUGACCGAUCAACGAACCAAGUUACCCUAGGGAUAACAGCGCAAUCCUCUCCCAGAGUCCAUAUCGACGAGGGGGUUUACGACCUCGAUGUUGGAUCAGGACAUCCUAAUGGUGCAGCCGCUAUUAAGGGUUCGUUUGUUCAACGAUUAAAGUCCUACGUGA